GUGUCAGCAGCCGCGGUAAGACGAACCGUGCGAACGUUGUUCGGAUUCACUGGGCUUAAAGGGCGCGUAGGCGGGCCGCCAAGUCUGUGGUGAAAGCCCCCGGCUUAACCGGGGAAGUGCCGUGGAUACUGGCGGUCUCGAGGGGUGCAGGGGCAUGUGGAACUUCCGGUGGAGCGGUGAAAUGCGUAGAUAUCGGAAGGAACGCCGGUGGCGAAAGCGACGUGCUGGACACCUACUGACGCUGAGGCGCGAAAGCCAGGGGAGCAAACGGGAUUAGAUACCCCAGUAGUCC
rnacentral:rRNA from 1 species